rnacentral:rRNA from 1 species
UACAGAGGGUGCAAGCGUUGUUCGGAAUUAUUGGGCGUAAAGCGCGUGUAGGCGGCUUUGCAAGUCGGGUGUGAAAGCCCUCGGCUCAACCGAGGAAGUGCGCCCCGAAACUGCAGAGCUUGAGUACCGGAGAGGAUGGCGGAAUUCCCCAAGUAGAGGUGAAAUUCGUUGAUAUGGGGAGGAACACCGGUGGCGAAGGCGGCCAUCUGGACGGAUACUGACGCUGAGACGCGAAAGCGUGGGUAGCAAACAGG